rnacentral:rRNA from 1 species
GAUGAACGCUGGCGGCGUGCCUAAUACAUGCAAGUCGAGCGAACAGACGAGGAGCUUGCUCCUCUGACGUUAGCGGCGGACGGGUGAGUAACACGUGGAUAACCUACCUAUAAGACUGGGAUAACUUCGGGAAACCGGAGCUAAUACCGGAUAAUAUAUUGAACCGCAUGGUUCAAUAGUGAAAGACGGCUUUGCUGUCACUUAUAGAUGGAUCCGCGCCGCAUUAGCUAGUUGGUAAGGUAACGGCUUACCAAGGCAAUGAUGCGUAGCCGACCUGAGAGGGUGAUCGGCCACACUGGAACUGAGACACGGUCCAGACUCCUACGGGAGGCAGCAGUAGGGAAUCUUCCGCAAUGGGCGAAAGCCUGACGGAGCAACGCCGCGUGAGUGAUGAAGGUCUUCGGAUCGUAAAACUCUGUUAUUAGGGAAGAACAAAUGUGUAAGUAACUAUGCACGUCUUGACGGUACCUAAUCAGAAAGCCACGGCUAACUACGUG